CCUCAUCACUCACUGCAGAUGUUACUUGAAGACAUUCUGGAGCAGCGUCAUGUGCAGAGGAGAAAAUAGUAUCAUCUCAGCCUUCUAUGAAAUCAAGGCAAUAUCAUGUGAAAGUAUAUUCCAAACCCAGAACCUGAGCACAGAUUGGGACUGAGAAACACUUGUCUAGAUUGUCAGGCAAUCUGUAACAUCAGCAGUGGAUGGAAAGAAGGAGAAAGAUGAGUUUUAUGGACGCUAACCCAUCUAUAUGGCUUUGGAAAAUAAAGUACUGCU
rnacentral:lncRNA from 1 species